GUUCUAAGACUAUUUCGAGUAGGUACUUGUCUUUCUUUCUUUUUCGCGACAGAAGCAACACAAAUCAGAUGCGCUUUUUGACCGAUUGGAAGCCGUACGGAAUAUCAUUAUAAUCGUUAUUUGAUUAUGAUU
ensembl:ncRNA F41C6.8 ncRNA